CGAAAGCCUGACGGAGCAACGCCGCGUGAGGGAUGAAGGCCUCUGGGCUGUAAACCUCUUUUCUCAAGGAAGAAGAUCUGACGGUACUUGAGGAAUAAGCCACGGCUAAUUCCGUGCCAGCAGCCGCGGUAAUACGGGAGUGGCAAGCGUUAUCCGGAAUUAUUGGGCGUAAAGCGUCCGCAGGCGGCCCAAAAAGUCUGCUGUUAAAAAGUGGAGCUUAACUCCAUCAUGGCAGUGGAAACUGUUGGGCUAGAGUGUGGUAGGGGCAGAGGGAAUUCCCGGUGUAGCGGUGAAAUGCGUAGAUAUCGGGAAGAACACCAGUGGCGAAGGCGCUCUGCUGGGCCAUCACUGACGCUCAUGGACGAAAGCCAGGGGAGCG
rnacentral:rRNA from 1 species